GCGCCGUCUCUAUGGUCUGGCGCGGCCGCGGGCCUCCCUCGCGCGGCCUGGUCGCCAGGGGGCGCGCUGGCUGGCGCCGCCGACUCUGAGUGCGCGGCUCGACCGCGUCCGCCAUAUUGGAUGCCGCAGCCGCCGCGGUCAGCGCUUCCUCCUGUGUCUUCGCUGCGCGCUGCAGGUUCCCGCGGCCUAGGCGGCAGGGAGGUGACCCAGGAGCCCGUGGGAGGAAGAGGAAGGAGGAGAAGGGGGUGGAGAGUGGAGGGGGCCGAAGCUUGAGUGUGGAGGCCGCUUCCGAGCGGGGCGGAGAAGCAGAGAAGGCGCCGCGCCAGCCCCUCCCCCGCCGCCGACCCGCCCCGGCGGCCUCGGUCCUGCUCGCUGCGCCCGCCCCGCGGCCAUGCCGGAGCCUCGCCGGCGCUGAGGAGCGUCGCCUGCUCACAGUGUUCCGCGGCCUCCCCGGCCCGUCGCCCGCCUUUCCGCACGCAACGCGCCCGGUCGCCGCCUCUCCCUUCGCCGGGCCCCGGGCCUCUGCGCAGACAACAUGGAGGCCGUGAAGACCUUCAACAGCGAGUUGUAUUCGCUGAAUGACUAUAAGCCACCCAUUUCUAAAGCAAAAAUGACCCAGAUUACAAAGGCAGCCAUCAAAGCUAUUAAGUUCUAUAAACAUGUGGUACAAAGUGUUGAGAAAUUCAUUCAGAAAUGUAAACCAGAAUACAAGGUACCUGGACUGUAUGUUAUUGACUCCAUUGUGCGACAAUCCCGGCAUCAGUUUGGUCAAGAAAAGGAUGUGUUUGCACCCAGAUUUAGUAAUAACAUCAUUAGCACUUUUCAGAAUUUAUAUCGUUGCCCUGGGGAUGACAAGAGUAAAAUAGUGAGAGUAUUAAACUUGUGGCAGAAGAAUAAUGUCUUUAAGAGUGAGAUUAUCCAGCCUCUUCUGGAUAUGGCGGCAGGGAUUCCUCCACCAGUUGUCACCCCUGUUUUGGCCAGCACCACUGCAGCUAUGAGCAACACUCCAGGAACACCUGUGACACCUGUUACUCCAGCCAAUGUGGUCCAAGGCUUACCUGACCCAUGGGUAUCCCAGAUAACAAACACAGACACAUUGGCAGCAGUUGCUCAGAUCCUACAGAGUCCUCAAGGUCAACAGCUUCAGCAGCUAAUCCAGACCUUACAGAUACAGCAGCAGAAGCCUCAGCCUUCUAUCCUGCAGGCCUUGGAUGCUGGGCUUGUGGUUCAGUUACAGGCGCUCACGGCACAGCUCACGGCUGCAGCUGCUGCAGCCAACACACUUACGCCCUUGGAUCAGGGAGUCUCUUUCAACAAGAAGUUGAUGGAUAGAUUUGAUUUUGGGGAAGAUUCUGAGCAUAGUGAAGAAUCCAAAAAGGAAAUUCCUACUCCUCAACUCUCUCAUGUUUCGGAGUCUGUGAACAACUCCAUUUUCCAUCAGAUCGCAGAGCAGCUGCAGCAGCAGAAUCUGGAGCAGUUGCGGCAACAGCUCCUGGAGCAGCAGCAGCCUCAGAAGGUAACUCCUCAAGAUAGCCAGGAGGGGACAUUUGGGUCCGAGCAUUCCGCUUCACCCUCACAAGGGAGCAGCCAACAGCAUUUUCUGGAACCUGAAGCAAAUUUAGAUGAUUCCAUAGACAUUCAGCAACAGGAUAUGGAUAUUGAUGAAGGGCAAGAUGUUGUUGAAGAGGAAAUCUUUGAACCAGAAGCUAAGAAAGUAGCUGUUCGCUCAAGAUCAAGAACUCACUCACGAUCUCGAUCAAGGUCACCAAGAAAACGAAGGUCCAGGUCCCGCUCUGGGUCCCGAAAGCGAAAGCACAGGAAGCGGUCUCGUUCCCGCUCAAGAGAGAGAAAGAGAAAAUCCUCACGUUCCUAUUCAAGUGAACGCAGAGCCAGGGAAAGGGAGAAAGAACGCCAAAAAAAGGGCUUGCCUCCUGUCAGAUCGAAAACACUAAGUGUAUGCAGCACUACUCUCUGGGUUGGCCAAGUGGACAAGAAGGCUACACAGCAAGAUUUAACCAACCUUUUUGAGGAGUUUGGACAAAUUGAAUCCAUUAAUAUGAUUCCACCCAGGGGCUGUGCAUAUGUCUGUAUGGUUCAUCGACAAGAUUCAUUUCGGGCUCUUCAGAAACUGAGUUCAGGAUCUUAUAAAAUUGGUUCCAAGGUCAUUAAGAUUGCCUGGGCUUUGAACAAAGGUGUAAAGACAGAAUACAAACAGUUCUGGGAUGUGGAUCUUGGUGUCACAUAUAUACCCUGGGAAAAAGUUAAAGUAGAUGACUUGGAUGGCUUUGCAGAGGGAGGCAUGAUUGAUCAGGAAACUGUAAAUGCUGAAUGGGAAACUGUGAAAGCCUCAGAACCAGCUAAAGAGACGGUCCAGACUACACAGAGUCCAAGUCCAGUUGAAAAGGAGUCAGUGGUCACAACGCAGGCGGAGGUUUUCCCUCCUCCUGUUGCCAUGCUGCAGAUUCCCGUAGCACCAGCUGUUCCUGCAGUUAGCUUAGUUCCUCCAACGUUUCCUGUGUCGAUGCCUGUCCCCCCUCCUGGAUUCAGCCCGAUCCCUCCACCUCCAUUUCUGCGAGCAAGUUUUAACCCUUCACAACCACCUCCUGGUUUUAUGCCACCUCCAGUUCCCCCACCUGUGGUACCUCCCCCCGCAAUCCCACCUGUAGUACCAACAUCUUUAGUGCAACCACCAUUGUCCAUGACCCCAGAAACUGUGAAAGAUGUUGGAUUUGGCAGCCUGGUUUUACCAGGUGGUUCUGUUGCUGGCAGUCUUGCUCCCUCAACUCUACCAGCAGGGAAUGUUUUUAAUCCUCCCAGUAAAGCAGAGCCUGAAGAAAAAGUACCUCACCUGACAGAGCACCAGAUCCCUUCUGCUGAGAAUGCCAGACCAGUGAUUCCAAGUGAUAUUCCAAAUAGUGCUGCAAUGUUAGCACAGCCGCCUGGGGCCUCAAGCACCUCUGGGAUCCUGUGCGUGCAGAGACCAAACGUAUCAAGUAAUUCUGAAAUUCUGGGGGUUCGUCCAGCUAAUGUUUCCAACAGUGCUGCAAUUAUGGGAGCCCAGCCACCAAAUAUUCUAAAUAACUCUGGAAUUUUGGGCAUACAGCCACCAAAUGUGUCCAGUGGCUCUGGACUUCUCGGGGUACUGCCUCCAAACUUGCCUAAUAACUCUGGACUUGUAGGACUACAGCCACCAAAUGUUACAAAUCCUGCUGGACUUUUGGGAACACAGCCACCAAUUGGACCUCAAAACUUACCGCCCUUAACCAUCCCUGCUCAAAGGAUGCCUGCAUUGCCAAUGUUAGACAUUCGUCCAGGACUGAUAGCACAGGCUCCCGGGCCAAGAUUCCCUUUACUACAGCCUGGAAUUCCACCACAACGGGGUAUCCCUCCCCCAUCGGUACUUGAUGCAGCUCUUCAUCCUCCACCCCGUGGACCUUUUCCUCCAGAUCUUUUCAGUCAACCAGAAAGACCUUUUCUGGCUCCUGGAAGACCAAGUAUAGACAGUAUUCCCACCCCAGAUAAAAGAAUACCACUUGGGAAUGACAAUAUUCAGCAGGAAGGGGAUAGAGAUUACCGCUUUCCUCCUAUGGAAACCAGGGAGGGCAUUACUAGACCUCCUCCGGUGGAUGUUAGGGAUGUGGUUGGGCGACCUAUAGAUCCCAGAGAAGGCCCUGGAAGGCCUCCGUUAGAUGGUAGGGAUCAUUUUGGAAGACCUCCUGUGGACAUGAGGGAGAAUCUUGUGAGGCCAAGUCUAGACCACCUUGGUCGAAGAGACCACUUUGGCUUUCCCCCAGAGAAGCCUUGGGGGCCUAGAGAUUUUGAUGAGAGAGAGCAUCGAGUUCUGCCUGUCUUUGGUGGUCCAAAAGGCUUACAUGAAGAAAGAGGUAGAUUUCGGGCUGGAAAUUACCGAUUUGAUCCUAGAAGUGGUCCUUGGAACAGGGGAUUUGGACAAGAAGUUCACAGAGAUUUUGAUGACCGCAGAAGACCCUGGGAGAGGCAGAGGGAUAGGGAUGACAGAGAUUUUGAUUUCUGCAGAGAAAUUAAUGGAAAUCGUCUUGGACGAGAUAGAAUUCAAAACACUUGGGUUCCUCCUCCUCAUGCUCGGGUUUUUGAUUAUUUCGAAGGGGCCACUUCUCAACGGAAAGGUGAUAAUGUGCCUCAAGUUAAUGGUGAAAAUACAGAGAGACAUGCUCAGCCACCGCCUUUACCAGUACAGAAGGACCCUGAACUCUAUGAGAAACUGGCGUCUUCAGGUGACGUAGACAAGGAGGAGAGCGGCACAGUUGCUGGUGUAGAGAGUGAAGCGGUGGUAGAAAGCACAGAGACUGAGGGGACAUAACAUCACUCAGUAGUUGUUCCUGUGCUUAUUCAGUGAGCUUCCCUCUGCUGGCCCAAUAUUCUCUUCUGGAGUAAUCACCUGCAGCUACCCUUCUUAGCAAGAUGAUGAAUGAAGUCCUGGCAGCCUCCAGUGUCCCAGGCCUUGUAGAAAUAAGUGAGACAGACGCGCUUCAAAGUUCUAAUGAGCGUCACACCGGAAGCAUUAAAAGGAGCCCCGAGCCCCGCCGCUGCCUGUUGAGAAGGCUCUGUGCUCUCAGGCGUGGUUUCUGAUUGAAUGCAGAGGUCACACGCAUGCCUCCCUCUAUUACCUGUCGGAGCAGGUUUAAUUUUAUAAAUUCUAGACACAAACUCUAUGAGUUUCUAGUUCAUAGUUGUUCUUUUUGAGGAUCCACUCAGACGAACAGUAUUACAUCUGUAAGAGAUACGCGCUCUCCCACUGCCCACAACUAGUUGAGGACUCACUGGCGACGAACUCCAUCAGUAGCAUCGCCAGGUGCAUGAUGGGAAGGACAAAGGGCGAGGAAAACCCUCCCCUGGAGACUCAUACAGAUGGCCAGACCCAUAGUGUUACUACACCAGCGAUUUUUUCCCCCCUUGAACACAGUAACUUACUACUGUAAAGCCAUGUACAAAAGCCUGGCUGUGGCUUCAAUCCAUCGUUAUUACUUCCUUCCUUGAACACUCAAAAACUCUGAAAGUUGUUCAGAGUUUCAUUUUCUUAAAAUCCUUUUUAAUGGAUCUUUGAGGAAAAAUCCAAGGUUCAGCACACCACCCUGAACCCUUUGCUCCGGCCUUGUCCUGUCACGCAAGCAGCAGACACACUGGCCGAGAUGAGAAGCCUUGUGGGAGAGGGAGGGAAACUGAUAAUCAGGCCUACUGCAUGGUAGUUUACCACACUUCAUGAAUCAUUUCCCAGGAGCUUCUAACUGAGGCAAAGAUGGUGGUAGUCUGCUGCAGAACAUCAGACCUGAUUUCUGUCUUUGGCAUCUACCAGUGUUCACACAAUACCUGGGGGAGGGAGACUCCAAAAAUUCAAAUGUGAGCACCGUUUAUACCCCAAAAGAAUAUUUUUAAUCAUUCUUUUGCUUGUUUUGUCAAAAAAAAAAAUUAAAGUGCUUGGAAUUCUUUAUCUGUGGUCCCUUGGAAUGUAAUCAAUGAGAACUCUAACCUCCAACAGUAUGAUCUCACUUUGGACAUUCAUAAUAAAAGCUGAAACUCA